UACGUAGGUGGCAAGCGUUGUCCGGAUUUACUGGGCGUAAAGAGCGCGCAGGCGGUCGUUCAAGUCGCGUGUGAAAGCCCCCGGCUCAACUGGGGAGGGUCACGCGAUACUGAUCGACUGGAAGGCAGGAGAGGGUAGUGGAAUUCCCGGUGUAGUGGUGAAAUGCGCAGAUAUCAGGAGGAACGCCGGUGGCGAAAGCGGCAUGCUGGGUCCCUUCUGACGCUGAGGCGCGAAAGCCAGGGGAGCAAACGGG
rnacentral:rRNA from 1 species